rnacentral:rRNA from 2 species
AGGUUAAGUUAACAAGGGCGCAUGGUGAAUGCCUUGGCACUAGGAGCCGAUGAAGGACGGGACUAACACCGAUAUGCUUCGGGGAGCUGUACGUAAGCUAUGAUCCGGAGAUUUCCGAAUGGGGCAACCCAGCAGUUUUAAUCAACUGUUACCACUAGAUGAAUUCAUAGUCUAGUUGGAGGUAAACGCUGUGAACUGAAACAUCUCAUUAGCAGCAGGAAUAUAAAGAAAUUUCGAUUCCCUAAGUAGCGGCGAGCGAACGGGGAACAGCCCAAACCAAAGUGCUUGCACUUUGGGGUUGUAGGACUGAACAUUUGAGUUACCAAAGAACUUGAUAGUCGAAGGAUUUGGGAAAAUCCGCCAUAGAUGGUGAUAGCCCAGUAGAUUAAAUCAAAUUCUCUCAGUUCAGGAUCCUGAGUACGGCGGAACACGUGAAAUUCCGUCGGAAUCCGGGAGGACCAUCUCCCAAGGCUAAAUACUACCUAGUGACCGAUAGUGAACCAGUACCGUGAGGGAAAGGUGAAAAGCACCCCGGGAGGGGAGUGAAAUAGUUCCUGAAACCAUGUGCCUACAAUAAGUCAGAGCGCGUUAAUGCGUGAUGGCGUGCCUUUUGUAGAAUGAACCGGCGAGUUAUGAUCCCGUGCAAGGUUAAGACUAAAAAGUCGGAGCCGUAGCGAAAGCGAGUCUGAAAUGGGCGUUUUGAGUACGAGGUUAUAGACCCGAAACCAGGUGACCUAUCCAUGUCCAGGUUGAAGGUGCGGUAAAACGCACUGGAGGACCGAACCCGUGUAAGUUGAAAAUUGCUGGGAUGAGGUGUGGAUAGCGGUGAAAUUCCAAACGAACUUGGAGAUAGCUGGUUCUCUCCGAAAUAGCUUUAGGGCUAGCCUCGGAAUUAGGAUCAUGGAGGUAGAGCACUAUUUGGACUAAGGGCCCGUCUUGGGUUACUGAAUUCAGAUAAACUCCGAAUGCCAUUGAUUCAUAUCCGGGAGUCAGACGAUGAGUGAUAAGAUCCACCGUCGAAAGGGGAACAGCCCAGACCAUCAGUUAAGGUCCCUAAAUGUAUGCUAAGUGGAAAAGGAUGUGGAGUUGCAUAGACAACUAGGAUGUUGGCUCAGAAGCAGCCACCAUUUAAAGAGUGCGUAAUAGCUCACUAGUCGAGUGAUCCUGCGCCGAAAAUGUACCGGGGCUAAGCAUACUACCGAAACCAUGGAUGCGACCAUUAGGUCGCGUGAUAGGAGAGCGUUCUAAGGGCGGUGAAGCAAGAUCGUGAGGACUUGUGGAGCGCUUAGAAGUGAGAAUGCCGGUAUGAGUAGCGAAAGAUAGGUGAGAAUCCUAUCCACCGAAUGACUAAGGUUUCCUGGGGAAGGCUCGUCCUCCCAGGGUUAGUCGGGACCUAAGUCGAGGCCGAGAGGCGUAGACGAUGGAUAACAGGUUGAGAUUCCUGUACUAGUUAAGUGCGUUUGAGCAAUGGAGGGACGCAGGAGGCUAAGAUGUGCAUUCUGUUGGAUUAGAAUGUCCAAGCAGUAAGUCUUGUGAAGAGUCAAAUGCUUUUCACUUUAAGGACAAGCUGUGAUGGGGAGCGAAAUUUAGUAGCGAAGCGUCUGAUGUCACACUGCCGAGAAAAGCUUCUAGUGAGUACUUAACUACCCGUACCGCAAACCGACACAGGUAGUCGAGGAGAGAAUCCUAAGGUGAGCGAGUGAACUCUCGUUAAGGAACUCGGCAAAAUGACCCCGUAACUUCGGGAGAAGGGGUGCUGAUCGCAAGAUCAGCCGCAGUGAAUAGGCCCAGGCGACUGUUUAUCAAAAACACAGGUCUCUGCAAAAUCGUAAGAUGACGUAUAGGGGCUGACGCCUGCCCGGUGCUGGAAGGUUAAAAGGAUGGGUUAGCUUCGGCGAAGCUCAGAAUUGAAGCCCCAGUAAACGGCGGCCGUAACUAUAACGGUCCUAAGGUAGCGAAAUUCCUUGUCGGGUAAGUUCCGACCCGCACGAAAGGCGUAACGAUCUGGGCACUGUCUCAACGAGAGACUCGGUGAAAUUAUAUUGUCCGUGAAGAUGCGGACUACCCGCGACAGGACGGAAAGACCCCAUGGAGCUUUACUGUAGCUUGAUAUUGAGUGUUUGUACAGCUUGUACAGGAUAGGUAGGAGCCAUAGAAACCGGAACGCUAGUUUCGGUGGAGGCGUUGGUGGGAUACUACCCUCGCUGUAUGACCACUCUAACCCGCACCACUAAUCGUGGUGGGAGACAGUGUCAGGUGGGCAGUUUGACUGGGGCGGUCGCCUCCUAAAAAGUAACGGAGGCGCCCAAAGGUUCCCUCAGAAUGGUUGGAAAUCAUUCGCAGAGUGUAAAGGCACAAGGGAGCUUGACUGCGAGACAGACAGGUCGAGCAGGGACGAAAGUCGGGCUUAGUGAUCCGGUGGUACCGUAUGGAAGGGCCAUCGCUCAACGGAUAAAAGCUACCCUGGGGAUAACAGGCUUAUCUCCCCCAAGAGUCCACAUCGACGGGGAGGUUUGGCACCUCGAUGUCGGCUCAUCGCAUCCUGGGGCUGUAGUCGGUCCCAAGGGUUGGGCUGUUCGCCCAUUAAAGCGGUACGCGAGCUGGGUUCAGAACGUCGUGAGACAGUUCGGUCCCUAUCCGUCGCGGGCGUAGGAAAUUUGAGAGGACCUGUCCUUAGUACGAGAGGACCGGGAUGGACAUACCUCUGGUGUACCAGUUGUGCCGCCAGGCGCAUCGCUGGGUAGCUACGUAUGGAUGUGAUAAACGCUGAAAGCAUCUAAGUGUGAAACACACCUCGAGAUGAGAUUUCCCAUUCCUUUAUGGAAGUAAGACCCCUGAAAGAUGAUCAGGUAGAUAGGUUAGAAGUGGCAGUGCGGUGACGCAUGAAGCGGACUAAUACUAAUCGGUCGAGGACUUAACCAAG